AGCGCCUCGUGAAUUCAUCUCCGGGGGUAGAGCACUGUUUCGGCAAGGGGGUCAUCCCGACUUACCAACCCGAUGCAAACUGCGAAUACCGGAGAAUGUUAUCACGGGAGACACACGGCGGGUGCUAACGUCCGUCGUGAAGAGGGAAACAACCCAGACCGCCAGCUAAGGUCCCAAAGUCAUGGUUAAGUGGGAAACGAUGUGGGAAGGCCCAGACAGCCAGGAUGUUGGCUUAGAAGCAGCCAUCAUUUAAAGAAAGCGUAAUAGCUCACUGGUCGAGUCGGCCUGCGCGGAAGAUGUAACGGGGCUAAACC
rnacentral:rRNA from 1 species